CUCCAAUGAUGAUCUAGCCAUGCUAAUACUGAUGCACCUGCCUGGGUGUGAUGAGUGCGACUUGCCUUCUCAUGCUGAUGGUUUCAGUGUGUGCUGAGGAGA